GAUGAACGCUGGCGGCGCGCCUAACACAUGCAAGUCGAACGGUUAAAGCCCCUUCGGGGGUGCAUAAAGUGGCGAACGGCUGAGUAACACGUGGGCAACCUGCCCCUCGCACCGGGACAGCCUCGGGAAACCGUGGUUAAUACCGGAUACUCCCGCACCCCCGCAUGGGGGCGCGGGGAAAGCCCAGACGGCGAGGGAUGGGCCCGCGGCCUGUUAGCUCGUUGGCGGGGUAACGGCCCACCAAGGCGAUGAUGGGUAGCCGGGUUGAGAGACCGACCGGCCAGAUUGGGACUGAGACACGGCCCAGACUCCUACGGGAGGCAGCAGUGGGGAAUCUUGCGCAAUGGGCGGAAGCCUGACGCAGCGACGCCGCGUGCGGGAAGGAGGCCUUCGGGUCGUAAACCGCUUUCAGCAGGGACGAGGCCGCGAGGUGACGGUACCUGCAGAAGAAGCCCCGGCUAACUACGUGCCAGCAGCCGCGGUAAUACGUAGGGGGCAAGCGUUAUCCGGAUUCAUUGGGCGUAAAGCGCGCGUAGGCGGCCUGUUAGGUCGGGAGUCAAAUCCGGGGGCUCAACCCCCGCCCGCUCCCGAUACCGGCGGGCUUGAGUCUGGCAGGGGAAGGCGGAAUUCCAAGUGUAGCGGUGGAAUGCGCAGAUAUUUGGAAGAACACCGGUGGCGAAGGCGGCCUUCUGGGCCACGACUGACGCUGAGGCGCGAAAGCUAGGGGAGCGAACAGG
rnacentral:rRNA from 1 species